GAGGAAUAUUGGUCAAUGGACGCAAGUCUGAACCAGCCACGUCGCGUGAAGGAAGACGGCCCUACGGGUUGUAAACUUCUUUUGUAAGGGAAUAAAGUGAUUCACGUGUGUAUCAUUGCAUGUACCUUACGAAUAAGGAUCGGCUAACUCCGUGCCAGCAGCCGCGGUAAUACGGAGGAUCCGAGCGUUAUCCGGAUUUAUUGGGUUUAAAGGGUGCGCAGGCGGAAUAUUAAGUCGGCGGUGAAAUUUUGCAGCUUAACUGUAAAAGUGCCUUCGAAACUGGUUUUCUUGAGUGUAGAUGAAGUAGGCGGAAUUUGUGGUGUAGCGGUGAAAUGCAUAGAUAUCACGAGGAACUCCUAUUGCGCAGGCAGCUUACUAAACUACUACUGACGCUCAUGCACGAAGGCGUGGGGAUCAAACA
rnacentral:rRNA from 1 species